rnacentral:lncRNA from 1 species
AUAAUAAUUGAAAUAGAACCGAUAAAACUAUCAAAAAUAAAUAUACAAAUAAGAUUGCCUAUAUUAAUCUAUAACAGAUCUUGGUGCUAAAAAAUUUAUAAUUUUUAUUAUUUCUAACUCAUAUAUAUGAACUGUGCGCAUUUUAUCAGUCUUGAAAUAGUCACUAAAUAUAGACUGACAAGAAUGCGACAUAGUUCAUAAGAAAUAGUAAAAAUUACACAAAUUAUUCAGUACCAAAACCCGCUAUAAACCAAUAUAGACAAUUUAAUUUUUAUCUUCACAUUUAACAAUUUCAUCGAUCCUGUUUUAAUUAUUAUUAUAUUACAAUAAUAUUUUUUAAUUGUAUCUGCAAUUUCUUGGAUAAAAUGUAUUUAAGAUUUUUUCUGAAAUGUUUCUGCUAUCUGCAUAGAUAUGUUUUGGAAAUAUUUCAGUAAUAUUAUCGAAAUGUUACUAAAAUCUUUCAAAAAGAUUGCACUUGAAAUGAUCGCGGACAUUAAAACAUUGCAGAAGUGUUGCAGAAAUAAUCGUGAAAUAUUUCCGUGAUAUUGCUGUAUACAGUGUAACAUUUUAAAUAAAAUAUUUUAGAAACAUUACAUGCCAAGUGGUUACAUAUUAUAAUAGCAACAAAAUGUUUAUAAAAUUUCUUAUUGAAUUUUCUAGUGAGUUACACAAAUAACAGUGUAAAAUAGUGAAUUAUUUUAUUCUUGUUGUCUUACAGAAUGAACAAGAAUGAAAUAAUUUACCAUGUUAUAGUAACUGUAUUAGUAGCUGUGUUAGUAGCUAUGUAAUUUAUUAGAAAUCACCUAUCCAUUAUUUUUUAUUUUCUAUUUUUUUUAAACUGUUGCCGCAAAAAUUUGAAUUCGUUUUGGGAGAAAUUGUAGAAAGACUACAGAGAAUUGUAAAUAGUAUCAAAUGAUACAAUCAAAUGAUACCACCAGAGAAGCAACUUUUAAUUGCUUUGUGACGUAUGGCUAUACCAGAUUCUUACAGGUCAAUAUACACUAAAUUUGGUGUAGGAAAAGCCACUGCUAUAAGAGCAGUACGAUGAGUGACAAAAAUAUUAUGUUAUCUUGCAGCAAGAUUUACACAGUGGCCAAAAGAAACAAGGACUAUAGAAAUAAUGCAGGGUUUUGCUCACAUUGGUACUUUUCCGCAAACUUGAAACGAUUGAUGGCACGCAAUCAAUGUACCUGCUCCUAAAGAAAAUCCCGAGGCUUACAUAAAUAGGAAAGGCCAUCAUUUUAUCCAAACCUAGGUUUUUAAUUUUUUAUUUUUGUUUAACUUAUUUUUUUAUUCUUUUAAUUCUAAAGGAAUAUUUAUAUAGAUUGCAAUUAUUAACGUAUUACGUUACUCAAUUUGGUUACUUAUGAAUGGCAACGUGCUUGAAACUUUAUGGCAUAAGUUACUACAUAAAGGUUUCUUAAAUAUAUUUGUAAAGAAUAAGAGUCUAUCCAGAAAAAGAGUAUAAAUAUAAACAUAAGAAAAUUGAUUAGUUCGUAAGCUUGUGCAUAAAGAAAGAGAUCAGUCGAUUUUCUUAUGCAUAUGUUAAUACAUUUAUGCAAGUUUGCCUGAAUAGAAGCCCAUGGCACAUAAUGCUUUUUUCAUACUGUUUGCAAGGUUCUGUGCUAACAAAUUGGUAGAUGAAAUGAUAAUCAUUUUGUCUGCCGAUUCACUAACACAGGCCUGUAAACAAUUCAGCAAGCAAAAAAGCAUCGUGUGUCGUAAGCAUAAUAUAAAUUAAUAAUAAUUUUUGUUUGCAGAUAGUUUGUCAUCAUAAGCGUCUUUUUACACAUGUGUAUGUAUGGAACGUAGGUUCUGUAGAUGAUGCACGUGUGUUUAGAUUAUCAAGCUUGCAAAACUAAAUUUCAGACCCGGCAAAAUUUUCUCGCGAAAAUUAUUUAAUAGAAGACGCUACGUAUCCCCUUUUAAAACGAUUAAUGGUGCCGUACACCGACAACAGCAUCUCACACAGCGUCAAAAAAACUAUAAUUUUUGUCUUUCGUCUUUCCGUACGACUAUUGAAAGAGCUAUUGAUUUGCUGAAGGGACGCUAGAGAAGCCUUCUUCAUCAUUUAGCUAUGGGAUUUGUCAAGCACAUUCCUAAUCAUUUUCUCGCAUGUUGUGUGCUACACAAAACAUAUGUUUGAUAAGAAAUGAUGAUUUAGAGAUAAUAAUAAAUGAUGAGGAAGCAGCACAUUCUCUACAAUUAUAAAUUAGAGGACGCAAUAGAGGUGAAGCAAAGGCAAAAAGAGACUUAAUAUGUGCCACUCUUCGUAUGAGAGAUGUAUAAAAUAUGUAUAUAUAUAUGUAUAAUGUAUAUAUAUACACACUAGUAAUAAUAAUAUAAAUAUUAGUGAAUUUUUAUGUGAUAUAAGUAGUAUAAGAUGUACUUUUAGCAACAUGAAAAUAAAAACUUUAUAUUG